UACGUAGGGGGCAAGCGUUGUCCGGAUUUAUUGGGCGUAAAGAGCGUGUAGGCGGCCAUACAGGUCCGUUGUGAAAACUGGAGGCUUAACCUCCAGACGUCGAUGGAAACCGUAUGGCUAGAGUCCGGAAGAGGAGAGUGGAAUUCCUGGUGUAGCGGUGAAAUGCGUAGAGAUCGGAAAGAACACCAACGGCGAAAGCACUCUGCUGGGCCGACACUGACACUGAGAGACGAAAGCUAGGGGAGCGAAUGGG
rnacentral:rRNA from 1 species